rnacentral:rRNA from 1 species
UGCCUUAGUAGCGGCGAGUGAAGCGGCAAAAGCUCAAAUUUGAAAUCUGGCACUUUCAGUGUCCGAGUUGUAAUUUGAAGAAGGUAUCUUUGGGUCUGGCUCUUGUCUAUGUUUCUUGGAACAGAACGUCACAGAGGGUGAGAAUCCCGUGCGAUGAGAUGACCCAGACCUAUGUAAAGUUCCUUCGAAGAGUCGAGUUGUUUGGGAAUGCAGCUCUAAGUGGGUGGUAAAUUCCAUCUAAAGCUAAAUAUUGGCGAGAGACCGAUAGCGAACAAGUACAGUGAUGGAAAGAUGAAAAGAACUUUGAAAAGAGAGUGAAAAAGUACGUGAAAUUGUUGAAAGGGAAGGGCUUGAGAUCAGACUUGGUAUUUUGUAUGUUACUCUUUCGGGGGUGGCCUCUACAGUUUACCGGGCCAGCAUCAGUUUGGGCGGUAGGAGAAUUGCAAAGAAAUGUGGCACUGCUUCGGUAGUGUGUUAUAGUCUUUGUCGAUACUGCCAGCCUAGACUGAGGACUGCGGCUUCGGCCUAGGAUGUUGGCAUAAUGAUCUUAAGUCGCCCGUCUUGAACC